rnacentral:rRNA from 1 species
CCAGACUCCUACGGGAGGCAGCAGUGAGGAAUAUUGGUCAAUGGUCGGGAGACUGAACCAGCCAAGCCGCGUGAGGGAGGAAGGUACAGAGUAUCGUAAACCUCUUUUGUCAGGGGACAAAGACUGGGACGCGUCCCCGGAUGAGUGUACCUGAAGAAAAAGCAUCGGCUAACUACGUGCCAGCAGCCGCGGUAAUACGUAGGGGGCAAGCGUUAUCCGGAUUUACUGGGUGUAAAGGGAGCGUAGACGGUGAUGCAAGUCAGAAGUGAAAGCCCGGGGCUCAACUCCGGGACUGCUUUUGAAACUGUGUAACUGGAGUGCAGGAGAGGUAAGCGGAAUUCCUGGUGUAGCGGUGAAAUGCGUAGAUAUCAGGAGGAACACCAGUGGCGAAGGCGGCUUACUGGACUGUAACUGACGUUGAGGCUCGAAAGCGUGGGGAGCAAACAGGAUUAGAUACCCGAGUA